rnacentral:rRNA from 1 species
GUGCUUGCAUCGUGGGAUUAGUGGCGAACGGGUGAGUAACACGUGAGUAACCUGCCCUUAACUCUGGGAUAAGCCUGGGAAACUGGGUCUAAUACCGGAUAUGACUCCUCAUCGCAUGGUGGGGGGUGGAAAGCUUUAUUGUGGUUUUGGAUGGACUCGCGGCCUAUCAGCUUGUUGGUGAGGUAAUGGCUCACCAAGGCGACGACGGGUAGCCGGCCUGAGAGGGUGACCGGCCACACUGGGACUGAGACACGGCCCAGACUCCUACGGGAGGCAGCAGUGGGGAAUAUUGCACAAUGGGCGCAAGCCUGAUGCAGCGACGCCGCGUGAGGGAUGACGGCCUUCGGGUUGUAAACCUCUUUCAGUAGGGAAGAAGCGAAAGUGACGGUACCUGCAGAAGAAGCGCCGGCUAACUACGUGCCAGCAGCCGCGGUAAUACGUAGGGCGCAAGCGUUAUCCGGAAUUAUUGGGCGUAAAGAGCUCGUAGGCGGUUUGUCGCGUCUGCCGUGAAAGUCCGGGGCUCAACUCCGGAUCUGCGGUGGGUACGGGCAGACUAGAGUGAUGUAGGGGAGACUGGAAUUCCUGGUGUAGCGGUGAAAUGCGCAGAUAUCAGGAGGAACACCGAUGGCGAAGGCAGGUCUCUGGGCAUUAACUGACGCUGAGGAGCGAAAGCAUGGGGAGCGAACAGGAUUAGAUACCCUGGUAGUCCAUGCCGUAAACGUUGGGCACUAGGUGUGGGGGACAUUCCACGUUUUCCGCGCCGUAGCUAACGCAUUAAGUGCCCCGCCUGGGGAGUACGGCCGCAAGGCUAAAACUCAAAGGAAUUGACGGGGGCCCGCACAAGCGGCGGAGCAUGCGGAUUAAUUCGAUGCAACGCGAAGAACCUUACCAAGGCUUGACAUGAACCGGAAAGACCUGGAAACAGGUCCCCCACUUGUGGUCGGUUUACAGGUGGUGCAUGGUUGUCGUCAGCUCGUGUCGUGAGAUGUUGGGUUAAGUCCCGCAACGAGCGCAACCCUCGUUCCAUGUUGCCAGCGCGUAAUGGCGGGGACUCAUGGGAGACUGCCGGGGUCAACUCGGAGGAAGGUGGGGACGACGUCAAAUCAUCAUGCCCCUUAUGUCUUGGGCUUCACGCAUGCUACAAUGGCCGGUACAAAGGGUUGCGAUACUGUGAGGUGGAGCUAAUCCCAAAAAGCCGGUCUCAGUUCGGAUUGGGGUCUGCAACUCGACCCCAUGAAGUCGGAGUCGCUAGUAAUCGCAGAUCAGCAACGCUGCGGUGAAUACGUUCCCGGGCCUUGUACACACCGCCCGUCAAGUCACGAAAGUUGGUAACACCUGAAGCCGGUGGCC